rnacentral:rRNA from 1 species
GACGAACGCUGGCGGCGUGCUUAACACAUGCAAGUCGAACGGGCUCUGUCUGGCUGUGUGCUGGGUGGGGUUAGUGGCGAACGGGUGAGUAAUACGUGAGUAACCUGCCCUCUUCUUUGGGAUAAGCCUUGGAAACGGGGUCUAAUACUGGAUAUUCCUGUCUGGUCGCAUGGCUGGGUGGGGAAAGUUUUUUUCGGUGGGGGAUGGGCUCGCGGCCUAUCAGCUUGUUGGUGGGGUGAUGGCCUACCAAGGCGUCGACGGGUAGCCGGCCUGAGAGGGUGACCGGCCACACUGGGACUGGGAUACGGCCCAGACGCCUACGGGCGGCAGCAGUGGGGGAUAUUGCACAAUGGGCGCAAGCCUGAUGCAGCGACGCCGCGUGGGGGAUGACGGCUUUCGGGUUGUAAGCCUCUUUCGUCGGGGGACAAGGCUCUGCUUGGUGGUGGGGUUGAGGGUACCCGGUGAAGAAGCGCCGGCUAACUACGUG